rnacentral:ncRNA from 1 species
GGCCUGUAUUCGCAGGAAAGGAUUAAAAGGGAAUCGGGUGAAAAUCCCGGACAGUCCCGCUGCUGUAAGCUUCAUAACGGAUAAGGCAACACUCGUGCCACUGACGAAGGAGUUGACAGAUAACAGUGGACAGUGGACAGUUUAACUGUCAAUUGUCAACUAUCAACUGUCAACUGACAAAAGUUGGGAAGGCGCCCGAUCCGGAAGUAAGUCAGAAGACCUGCAAGGCAUAU